UACAGGGGGUGCAAACGUUGCUCGGAAUUAUUGGGCGUAAAGCGCGCGUAGGCGGCUACUUAAGUCGGAUGUGAAAGCCCUUGGCUCAACUGAGGAAGUGCACCCGAAACUGAGUGGCUAGAGUACGAAAGAGGGUCGCGGAAUUCCCGGUGUAGAGGUGAAAUUCGUAGAUAUCGGGAGGAAUACCAAAGGCGAAGGCAGUGUCCUGGAGGGUGACUGACGCUGAGGCGCGAAAGCUAGGGGAGCGAACAGG
rnacentral:rRNA from 1 species